CCUCGUCUGUUGCCAUCACCAUCCACGCCAAGCCCGGCGCCAAAUCGUCCUCCAUCACCGAUUUUGGCGAUGACGCUGUAGGGGUCCAGAUAGACGCGCCUGCCAAAGAUGGUGAAGCUAACGCGGCGCUUCUUGAUUAUAUUAGCUCCGUCAGUUCUUUUCAUCUUCCCCCAAUUUUUUUCCUUUAUUAAUUUUUAUCUCUAUUGAUUUCACUUAAAGAGGAAAACCAUUUUCCAACUAGGUGGGUACUACGAUUACAUUGUUAUAGUGAUAAUUUGGUUACGUUGAAUUCUUAUCAUAAGAAAAUAAAUCAAUGUAUUAUGAUAUCUUGAACUGUGCCCGCUAAUCUUUCUUUUAUAUGUGCCACCCGCUUGUUGGAAUGGAUUCCCUUCUGUUUGUUCUCCGUAGCUAAAAUUCAGGAAAUAAGAGCUAUGCCCUUACAGGAAAAGUGUCUCUGGGUGGAAUUCUAAAUCUGCUUUCCCUUCUAGGAACAUUUGCCUGAUAUGUCAUCUUGCAUCACUGGAUUGAAGGAUUUUACCUAUAACUUUCUAGUUGAUUAAGGCUUCCGCCAUAAUCUUUCUUCUUUGCCAUGGUCCUGUCAAAUUUCCCAAUGAUAGGAAAGUUCAAUAACUUUUAGCUUCUGAAUUAUUUAAUGUAUGUGUAAAUGUAGUAGUCCCAUGUGUCACACAGCCUGUCCACUCCGGUUCAUUUGUGCAGGAUGAGAAGGUUGUGUAAGUUUUUGACUUGGAGAAAGGAUUGUAGACAACCAGUGUUUAUGGAUUUAUGGUUAGGAAGUGUUAAGGCUGAAGCAAGUUAGAAUAAGACCAAAUGGAGCAUGCAUGAAAAAAGAAUCUGGACCUGAACUGCUCUGGCUAAUUGAGAUCCAUCAAAUCUGCCCAAAUAGCCAGGAGAUGUUCCUUUGAAGUCACUGAUGAUUGUGAUUGAGAGCUUUCUUUCUUCUGGGGCAAAAAUAGGUUGUAAAUGUUAUUGUUUAUGGCUCAUAUGAUUAUACAAGGUUUUGGGGGUCAAAAGGAGGCAGGUUUCGAUAGGUUCUGGCUCUAAAUCACGAGACAAGGUGGUGAUUGUGGAGGAGAUAACCCUACAGAGCGUAUUUGAUGCUUUAAACAAAUUGUCCAAGUGCUAGCUAUGGAG